CGAGAGGCCCAAACGUUAUUCGGAAUUACUGGGCUUAAAGAGUUCGUAGGCGGCAUUGCAAGUAGGGUGUGAAAGCCCUCGGCUCAACCGAGGAAUUGCGCUCUAAACUGCAGUGCUUGAGGAACCUAGAGGUGAGCAGGACAGAUGGUGGAGCGGUGAAAUGCGUUGAUAUCAUCUGGAAUACCGGAGGCGAAGGCGGCUCACUGGGAGUUUCCUGACGCUGAGGAACGAAAGCCAGGGUAGCGAACGGGAUUAGAUACCCCGGUAGUCCUGGCCGUAAACGAUGAGCACUAGGCCGGAGCCCUGCACAGGGUUUCGGCCGUAGCUAAAGUGUUAAGUGCUCCGCCUGGGGAGUAUGGUCGCAAGGCUG
rnacentral:rRNA from 1 species